AUUUGGUGUCCUCUGUAUGGACUUCUGCCCUGGAGUGCCAAAUCCAAUUUGGGAAUCAGGUGCCCAACACUAUUCCUAGAGAGAGUCAGAGCCAACCCUGCUGCAACAGAAGAGGUAGGUGAUGUCUGGACUCAUUUGAUUGGCCAGGUGGAAGCAGCCAGCCACAGUGUGGCAGUGCCUGAGGUCCCCGUGCCAGCACAGCACAGCACAGCACCCUGCUGGCUUGGCCAUCAGCCCUCCCUGAACCUUUCCAGUGCAGGUGGCACCAGCUCUGAAACACAGCAGGCACCAUGGCAGGGGCACUGCCCGACCACGGAAAGCCCGGGUCGUUGAUGAGGCUGUUAGCACUCUUUCCGUCUUUUAAUGUCCAAGUCCUUACCAGAAGACACUGGCUUAAUCUCAGCUCAACUGGAAAAAUGCCGAUGACUGGAAAUGUCAUCAGCUGCCUGUGGGCCAGGCUGGCCCUGAGCUGAUAAGGAGCAACAUGAAAUAAAAAUGUCAACACAAAACUGGAGAAACACAGAGGGUGGUUGCAGCUCUUCUCCAUCCUGUAGGAUGCCGGGCCCCUCUGUUACCAGUCCUAGGAGCUGAACUUUCCCUAAAGCCUCAGUGACCAGCUCUGCUCUUCCUUACAAAAGGGAAAAGGUGGCUGCUCUCAAUGCUGCAGAGAAAAAACUGAACUCUUGCCCCAUUGACUUAAAUAAAGAGGGUAAGUGGUGGGGGAAGGAGACCCAGCCAGAAGGAGGGCUGAUCCACCUCCCUCUCAUCUGGAGUAUGAACUUUGAACACCACCUGGACACUAGGUUUGGGCAGCAGCUCCUCUCACCCCAUGCCAAGUGUGCUCUCAGGACUCCUCAGGAACACCAAAUAUUGCACUGUUCUGCAAAAGUAAAGCCAGAAGUGACUAUCUAACCUUCUUUCUUUGGUGGGAAGGAU